UGUUCCUGUCUUGUAAGUUCGACCAGCAAUCUUUACCACCAGCAUCCGUUAGCCCGUCACCGUCUACAAUUGGUGCCAUUUGUGAGAAAUCGACUCUAGACAUUAGCAAUAAGCGAUAGCUUGUUCAAGUAGGGCACCUGAAAAAGUAUGUGGACCAAGAGAACACAAAGGUAGAGAAAGUGGAGGCCAGACCUAACAUGAGGUUUGACCGCAGUAGGAAUGAAACUGACAAUACCUUAAAGGAAAGCCUCCCCUUCGAGACUAUUCACGUGAUUAGGGGCCCAAACCCUCUUGAUCUUGAAAAUAGGAUCUGGGGAGAAAUCCGUAUUGUCAGGCAAAUAAACGGGGUACUCUCAGCCCAACUAGUGGCAAAGAAGCUGAGAUAGGGCUUAUCUAAGCCGAGAAACAUCACAUUUACAGGCAGAUCUGGAGCAAGUCCAACACCCCCACAACGAUCCAUUGGUCAUCCAACGGCAGGUUCAUAGUUAAGAUGUCAAAAGAAUCCUAGUGGACUCCGUCAGUUCGGUUGAGGUGAUAUAUUAUGAUCUUUUUAAACAACUAAAAUUGUCUAAGGUUGAUCUAAAGCCUGCUCGAACUCCGUUAGUCGGGUUCAAUGCUCAAGCUCUUUGGCCAUUGGGAAUCGUAAUACUCAAAAUCCGUUUGGGUUCCCAAGAGCUGAAGACUGAGUUUGUGAUAGUAUAUAUUCCCUCUCCUUAUAAUGCGAUCGUUGGUAGAGAUUGGUCAUACAAAAUGAAGGGGAGAGGAAACAUCAAAUUCAUAGGGGAGAGGAAACAUCUUAUGGAGACCAAGUGGCAGCCAAACACUGCUACCUUGCCACAGUAAGUACGAAGGCAACCAUAAAAGAGGUGCAGUUGGUGGAAGAGGGGAGGAAAGUCCUGGAGAAUGUUGGCAGGACCCCAGAGGCCAAAGUCAAGGAAGACUUGAUUCGCUAUGAACUCGAUGAGCCAAGCUCAGAUCGAUACUUCCUCGUUGUCUCAAAUAUGGAAGAGUGGGAGAGAACCGAGAUCAUCAAGUUCCUAAAAGUAAACAUUGAGGUAUUUGCACGGAUGCCAUCCGAGAUGCCAAGAAUUGAUCCAAGCUUUAUCAAGUACGAGCUUAACGUCAUGUCUGAAGCUCAUCCAAUGAACUAGCGGGGAAGAAGGUCCGUGGCCGAGCAUGUGGACGCGCAACGAGGAAGAAGGUCCGCGGCGAACAUUGUGAUAAAAAAGGUCGAGAAAUUAAAGGAGGUAAAUGCAAUAAUAAAAGUUCUUUACCCGAGUUGGAUGUCCAAUACAGUGGUGGUAAAGAAGAAAAAAGGCAAGUGGAAGGUGUGUAUUGAUUUCACAAGUCUCAACCAAGUUUGUCUGAAUGACUACUUUCCAUUGCCAAAUCAAUUGAUGGACUCAACAUUCGACCAUGCCUGAAUGAGUUUCUUGGACAUGUACCAAGGCUACCACCAAAUAGAAAUGCACAAGACAGAUUAGGAGAAAAUCGCCUUUAUCACCUCUUGCGACGUCUUUUGUUAUAAGGUUUGGCUUGAAAAAUGUUGGAGCUACAUAAUAAAAAUUAAUCACCAAAAUGUUUAGGCGUGGACGCCUACAUCAACGACAUGAUAGUCAAAACCAAAGAGGAACUAGAUCAUUUGAUGGAACUCGCUGAGGUGUUCGAGAUCCUAAAAGAGCACAACCUCAGAUUAAAAUUGGCUAAGUGCUCCUUCGGAGUGAGCUUGAAAAAAUUCUUGGGGCAUUUAGUCACUUGGCAAGGGAUCAAGGAAAAUCUGAAGCAAAUUGUGGUAAUCAAUGACCAAGUCCUAAAAAUGCGAAGGAGGUUUAGAAGGUAAUAGUAAUCGCAAGAUCACUCAAUCAAUUCACCAGUAAGUCUUUCGAUAAAUGCCGUCAAUUUUUCAAACUCCUUCAUAAAAAUAAUUUUUUUUAUGAAAUGAAGAGUGUGAGAUUAUGCUCCAACAAUUUAAACAGUACUUAACCAAACCACCACUUAUAUCUACUCCUGAUGAGGGAGAGUUGCUCUAUCUAUAACUCAUUGUCUCCAAACAUGCCAUUAGCUCAAUGCUACUCAAGAAGGUAGAUGGAGAGCAGUGCCUAAUCUGCUUCAUUAGCAAAACGUUUAUAGAUUGUCAAAUGAGGUACCUGCCACUAGAGAAACUGGUACUGACACUUGUUUUACUAUGCGAAAACUCAUGCAUAAUUUUCAAGCACACCCAAUUGCAGUAUACAUAGUAUUUAUACUAAAAAACAUGUUAAUGGAAGCGGACUUGUUCGAGUGACUAUCUAAAUGAACUGUCAAGCUAGGACAGUUCCAUAUCAAAUAUUUUCCCAGAGCAGCAAUCAAAUGUCAAGUCUUUGACUGAUUUUGUAGAGUUUUCACCCGAAUUGUAAAUCUAGAUUCGGGUUACCCCAAAUCUGCACGCAGGGAAAGAGAGAGCUCGGCAAGAAUAUCCACUAUGACCAAGCCAACACCUGAGGUGUCACACCCAUUUUGGUAAGACCCGGAUCGACACAGAGUGACGUGAUCAACCAUAACCUGCUACUGUCUCAUACAUAAAAUCUAUCAAACUAUUAUAAAAAAAUUUUAUACAAUUGAAGCCCAACCCAUGUAAUAAUAUUCCAACCUCACUCUAAAUAAAAUUGAGAAUAUAAAAUUCCCUUACAAUCACUACAUUAAAAAUCUCAACCAAUUCUCUCCCAGAGAGAAUUAUUACAACCUAAAAAUAUAAAAAAUUCGCAACCUCUUAUUGUAGAAGAUCGACUUCUAUCUUGAACUAAUAUUUGCAACCAAAAAGGUUACAGGAGAGUAUACUUUAUCAUCAUAAUAUAAAAAAAUUGCAACAAUUUAAGAUGGAUUAACCUUUUCAAACAAACAACUUUUCAUACAAAAUUUGUAAAACUUUUCAAAAGAAUCUUCAAUAUAAAUUUCAACCAUCUUUCCACCAUAUUUUUAAACAAUCAUUUUAUGGAUUAAAGUUUUUUUUUCAAUAAUCAGCUUUUUUCAAUAAAAUAUCAACCCAUUUUUGUAAUUUUUUUCAAUCAUGGAAAAAUACUCUCAACUAUUUCUUUUCAACCAAUUUUUCCUAAGCGUGGAAAUAAUUUCAACUAUAUAAUAUAUUUUUUCAGAAGAGAAUUUUAUUACCAAAUAUGCUAUAUGAGCGUUUACCUUACGACUCGGGAGUUAUGAUGGUACCGUUACCUCAGUCACGGCUCACAUAUAGUGGCGGUAUGGAGGGCCAUUCUUUAUCACCAAUGGUAGGUGCCAGCAUGUUAGAUUAGUAAUCAACUAAAAAGGUAAGCAACAACCAAGCUUACCAGUCAAACAACAACCAAGUUUGCCAAAUAAUCAACGCAAGCACAAUCAAGUUUGCUAACUAGUAGGCAAGCACACAACCAAGCUUGCAAACUAAAACACUGACACAUAAAGUAUAAAAAUAACAUUUGAUCUAUACAUGUAUAUAAGCAUAACAUUUUCUUUAAUAAUAUUUUGAUCCAACUUAAUCAGCCAUAUUUUCAACCAUUUUUCAUAAAGUGAAUAAACAUGAAAAAUAUUGUAUGUCAAGUCAUUAUGAAAGCUACAUACUCUCACCUUAUCAACCUCCAAAUUUUAUUCCAAGCUUACUCGCACCCGCUCCAUUCAUAUACCCAAGCCACCUAUUAAGAUAAUCUCACCUAAAAUUGUGAAUAAUACAACACCCAUCGAGCUUACAAUCCAAAAUUUCAAAUGCAUACAAAAUACAUAAAAAUAACACAUACAACCUAAUAGUGCUCAAAUAUCUAUUUUUUAUGAAAAUCAAUUACUUAUCCGAAAAUCAUAAUAUUAAUCACAGAAUAACUAGACAUGGAUAUAACAUACUAAAAUUUCAUAAUUUUUCAAGUUAGGAAAGUAUUUAUAAAAUUAAUAAUUCGAAUUAAAAUGCUGCCCAAAUUUUCUGCACUUAAAUUCAAAGAUAGCAAGUCGGCCUACUAUUUUUAUAAAAAAUUUCAGAGCUAAUUUAACUCCAAAAAUCUUACAUAACACACUAGACAUAUAUAUUCAUCUAUAGUAAAAAUAUCAUGAAUUUUUAAGCUACAUAACUAUUUUUAAAAAUUCGUCAAACAUUCUUCACAAAAUUUCCAAAAAUGUUGCUUACCUAUAAUUACUCACAUAAUUGCUAUAAUUUUUUUAUAAAUAAAAACCCUUUUAUUUAAAACUCAAACAUAAAUAAAAUAACACAAAACAUAUGAAUUUCACACUAAAAUAAUUUACACACAAAUCCAUGCAUAGCUUUGUUUGUUUCAACAAUAAGUGUUUCUACCAUAUUUUUUAGUAGACAAGGAGAGAACAUGUAUAUAUUAUCUUUACAAGAUUAUAGUGGCGUAAUCGUAAAUUUUAGACACUUUCCCAUAAAAUACAGAUUUAAUAAAUUGAAUCUCAACAGAAAAAAUGUCUAUAUUUAGUAGGGCCAUUAAAUCAAUUUUGCACUCUCAGUAUUACCAAAGAAAAUGCAACAUGACUCAACUUUCAUUUGGUUUGUUUGAUGCUCUUUGAAAUUGUAUUCAAAAAACUAAGUAAAAAAGAACCAAAUUUAGUAUUUUUAUUCUUAGUUUCAUGAUCUCAAACAUCAUAUUCUCAUAUUUAUAAUAUUUUCUAGAAAUUUUCCAAACAAGAUCUAUAUAACAAGAAACUUUUCCGUAAACCAUAUGUGGUUAAUCUAGCCAAUGAAUAUAUUUCUUCCCAAUUUGUUCAGAAGAAAUUUUAGUCCUUUUGAGUAAACAAUGUCACGUUAUACUUAAAGUAUUUCCAUUUGAUUCAAACAAAACCUUCAAACAACGCAAUAUCGGUCAAAUUGAGAAUGAUAUCAGAACACAAAACUAACGGAGCAAUGAUUUCCAAUUCUACAUGUGAUAAAUGAACUAUAGUAGUUGAAAACAUCGAGAAAGAGAUGGAUUAAACAGAUAAAGACAGUUAGAAAGAUCUGAAACGCAAAGAUCUUGAAGAAAUUAGGGUUUAAU
rnacentral:lncRNA from 1 species